rnacentral:lncRNA from 1 species
AGGAACGUCACAGUGGCCUCGAGCAGGAGCCCCCGGUGCCUUAUCGCCCAGCUACGACGGGGGUCUCCACGGCCUGCAGAGUAAGAUAGAAGACCACCUGGACGAGGCCAUCCACGUGCUCCGCAGCCACGCCGUGGGCACAGCCGGCGACAUGCACACGCUGCUGCCUGGCCACGGGGCGCUGGCCUCAGGUUUCACCGGCCCCAUGUCACUGGGCGGGCGGCACGCAGGCCUGGUGAGCGCUGGGCGAGGGUGGAGCUGGGCAGUGGGCGGGGACCCGGCUCCCCCUGAUGCACCCGUCUCCCCACGCCUGCAGGUUGGAGGCAGCCACCCCGAGGACGGCCUCGCAGGCAGCACCAGCCUCAUGCACAACCACGCGGCCCUCCCCAGCCAGCCAGGCACCCUCCCUGACCUGUCUCGGCCUCCCGACUCCUACAGUGGGCUAGGGCGAGCAGGUGCCACGGCGGCCGC